rnacentral:rRNA from 1 species
GUCAUCAGCCAUCCCAGCUGCAGUCCAGACUAGGUAAUCCACCUGAAGUUAAACAGGUUUGGGUCUGGCCAGUACUUGGAUGGGAGACCAACUGGGAAAGCCGGGUUGCUGCUGGAA